rnacentral:ribozyme from 1 species
ACAAUAACUCCGCCUGUAGCUCUUAUAGGGUUGCUGCCGGUCCCAAGCCCGGGUAAAGGAGGAGGGUUGG